UCCCUGGUGGUCUAGUGACUAAGACUCUGCACUCCCAAUGCAGGGGGCCUGGGUUUGAUUCCUGGUCAGGGAA
rnacentral:tRNA from 1 species